UACGUAGGGGGCAAGCGUUGUCCGGAUUUAUUGGGCGUAAAGAGCGUGUAGGCGGUCAGGUAGGUCCGUUGUGAAAACUCGAGGCUCAACCUCGAGACGCCGAUGGAAACCAUCUGACUAGAGUCCGGAAGAGGAGAGUGGAAUUCCUGGUGUAGCGGUGAAAUGCGCAGAUAUCUGGAGGAACACCGGUGGCGAAGGCGGCAUCCUGGACCAACACUGACGCUGAGUGAGCGAAAGCCAGGGGAGCAAACGGG
rnacentral:rRNA from 1 species